AGUGAACGCUGGCGGUAGGCCUAACACAUGCAAGUCGAACGGCAGCACAGUAAGAGCUUGCUCUUACGGGUGGCGAGUGGCGGACGGGUGAGGAAUACAUCGGAAUCUACUUUUUCGUGGGGGAUAACGUAGGGAAACUUACGCUAAUACCGCAUACGACCUACGGGUGAAAGCAGGGGAUCUUCGGACCUUGCGCGAUUGAAUGAGCCGAUGUCGGAUUAGCUAGUUGGCGGGCUAAAGGCCCACCAAGGCGACGAUCCGUAGCUGGUCUGGGAGGCUGAUCAGCCACACUGGAGCGGAGACACGGUCCAUGCUCCUACGGGAGGCAGCAGUGGGGAAUAUUGGACAAUGGGCGCAAGCCUGAUCCAGCCAUACCGCGUGGGUGAAGACGGCCUUCGGGUUGUAAAGCCCUUUUGUUGGGAAAGAAAAGCAGCAGGUUAAUACCCCGCUGUUCUGACGGUACCCAAAGAAUAAGCACCGGCUAACUUCGUG
rnacentral:rRNA from 1 species